AGCAGUAGCCGCGGGAAUACGAAGGGGGCUAGCGUUGCUCAGAAUCACUGGGCGUAAAGGGUGCGUAGGCGGGUCUUUAAGUCAGGGGUGAAAUCCUGGAGCUCAACUCCAGAACUGCCUUUGAUACUGAAGAUCUUGAGUUCGGGAGAGGUGAGUGGAACUGCGAGUGUAGAGGUGAAAUUCGUAGAUAUUGGGAAGAACACCAGUGGCGAAGGCGGCUCACUGGACCGACACUGACGCUGAUGCACGAAAGCUAGGGGAGCAAACAGGAUUAGAUACCCGCGUAGUCCCUGUCUCUUAUAC
rnacentral:rRNA from 1 species